rnacentral:tRNA from 4 species
GGGCCGUUAGCUCAGUCGGUAGAGCAGCGGAUUUUUAAUCCGUUGGCCGUGGGUUCAAGUCCCAUACGGCCCACCA